rnacentral:lncRNA from 1 species
UUUUUAUGCCCCACCUACGAUAGUAGAGGGGCAUUAUGUUUUCUGGUCUGUGCGUCCGUUCGUCCGUCUGUUCGUUCGUCCGUCUGUCCCGCUUCAGGUUAAAGUUUUUGGUCAAGGUAGUUUUUGAUGAAGUUGAAGUCCAAUCAACUUGAAACUUAGUAUACAUGUGCCCUAUGAUAUGAUCUUUCUAAUUUAAAUGCCAAAUUAUAGUUUUGACCCCAAUUUUACGGUUCACUGAACAUAGAAAAGGAUAGUGCAAAUUUCAGGUUAAAGUUUUUGGUCAAGGUAGUUUUUGAUGAAGUUGAAGUCCAAUCAAUUUGAAACUUAGUAUACAUGUGCCCUAUGAUAUGAUCUUUCUAAUUUAAAUGCCAAAUUAGAGUUUUGACCCCAAUUGUACAGUUCACUGAACAUAGAAAAUGAUAGUGCAAAUUUCAGGUUAAAGUUUUUGGUCAAGGUAGUUUUUGAUAAAGUAGAAGUCCAAUCAACCUGAAACUUAGUAUACAUGUUCCCUUUGAUAAGAUCAUUCUAAUUUUAAUGCCAAAUUAGAGAAUUUAUUCCAAUUUCACGGUCCACUAAACAUAGAAAAUGAUAGUGCGAGUGGGGCAUCCGUGUACUGUGGACACAUUCUUG